CGCAGCGAUGCGUUGAGCUAACCGGUACUAAUGAACCGUGAGGCUUAACCUUA
rnacentral:rRNA from 1 species